UGGGGAAUAUUGGACAAUGGGCGCAAGCCUGAUCCAGCCAUGCCGCGUGAGUGAUGAAGGCCCUAGGGUUGUAAAGCUCUUUCACCGGUGAAGAUAAUGACGGUAACCGGAGAAGAAGCCCCGGCUAACUUCGUGCCAGCAGCCGCGGUAAUACGAAGGGGGCUAGCGUUGUUCGGAUUUACUGGGCGUAAAGCGCGCGCAGGUGGUUUAGAAAGUCUGAUGUGAAAGCCCACGGCUCAACCGUGGAGGGUCAUUGGAAACUAAUAAACUUGAGUGCAGGAGAGAAAAGUGGAAUUCCUAGUGUAGCGGUGAAAUGCGUAGAGAUUAGGAGGAACACCGGUGGCGAAAGCGGCUUUUUGGCCUGCAACUGACACUGAGGCGCGAAAGCGUGGGGAGCAAACAGG
rnacentral:rRNA from 1 species